AAGACAUCAUAUGAAAGGGAAAAAGACACGUUUCAAGGCGAGAGCAACAAAGAUCCAGUUUAUCAACCAUUGUUUAAAGCAAUGACCCGGCCCCCCUAGCAUCACCUAUGAACUGAUUACUUACCUCUGCGCAUUGCCCAGUUAUCUACGCAUGUGCAUCAAUUCUGUCACUCUCUAGCUUUCUCACUCUUUGUUACAAUUUUACAAAAUCACUUGAGCCCUACACCACUGGUAAUAGCUGAGAACUUUAGAUUUCACAAAAGGAACCAGUCAAAGGAAGGAAGCAUUUCUGAAGGCGUUGCAGAACUAUGCAAACUUUUCCAAGACUGUGACUUUAGAGAUGGACUUUCUGAUGCAUUAACAGACAGGCUUGUAUGUGGUAUGCAUAGUCAAACCUCACAAAAAAGGCUACUGACAAAUAGAGUCCUAACCUUAG